CGACCGGCGCACGGGUGCGUAACGCGUAUAGAACUUACCUUUUACAGAGGGAUAGCCUUUAGAAAUGAAGAUUAAUACCUCAUAGCAUUGAGAUUUGGCAUCAAAUUUUAAUUAAAGAUUUAUCGGUAAAAGAUGGCUAUGCGUCCUAUUAGCUAGAUGGUGAGGUAACGGCUCACCAUGGCAACGAUAGGUAGGGGUCCUGAGAGGGAGAUCCCCCACACUGGUACUGAGACACGGACCAGACUCCUACGGGAGGCAGCAGUGAGGAAUAUUGGGCAAUGGAGGCAACUCUGACCCAGCCAUGCCGCGUGCAGGAAUAAGGUCCUAUGGAUUGUAAACUGCUUUUAUACAGGAAGAAACACUCGGACGUGCCCGACCUUGACGGGACUGUAUGAAUAAGCACCGGCUAAAUCCGUGCCAGCAGCCGCGGUAAUACGGAGGGGGCAAGCGUUUUCCGGAAACAUUGGGUUUAAAGGGCCCGCCGGGCGGUCAUUUAAAUUUCGAGGGGAAAUCCCCCUCGCUUAAACAAGGGAACUGCCCUUUGAAACGGGUGGAUUUGAGUCCUAUGGGAAAAAAAAAAAAAGGUGGU
rnacentral:rRNA from 1 species